rnacentral:rRNA from 1 species
UCGAGCGGAAACGAGUUAUCUGAACCUUCGGGGAACGAUAACGGCGUCGAGCGGCGGACGGGUGAGUAAUGCCUAGGAAAUUGCCCUGAUGUGGGGGAUAACCAUUGGAAACGAUGGCUAAUACCGCAUGAUGCCUACGGGCCAAAGAGGGGGACCUUCGGGCCUCUCGCGUCAGGAUAUGCCUAGGUGGGAUUAGCUAGUUGGUGAGGUAAGGGCUCACCAAGGCGACGAUCCCUAGCUGGUCUGAGAGGAUGAUCAGCCACACUGGAACUGAGACACGGUCCAGACUCCUACGGGAGGCAGCAGUGGGGAAUAUUGCACAAUGGGCGCAAGCCUGAUGCAGCCAUGCCGCGUGUGUGAAGAAGGCCUUCGGGUUGUAAAGCACUUUCAGUCGUGAGGAAGGUAGUGUAGUUAAUAGCUGCAUUAUUUGACGUUAGCGACAGAAGAAGCACCGGCUAACUCCGUGCCAGCAGCCGCGGUAAUACGGAGGGUGCGAGCGUUAAUCGGAAUUACUGGGCGUAAAGCGCAUGCAGGUGGUUUGUUAAGUCAGAUGUGAAAGCCCGGGGCUCAACCUCGGAAUUGCAUUUGAAACUGGCAGACUAGAGUACUGUAGAGGGGGGUAGAAUUUCAGGUGUAGCGGUGAAAUGCGUAGAGAUCUGAAGGAAUACCGGUGGCGAAGGCGGCCCCCUGGACAGAUACUGACACUCAGAUGCGAAAGCGUGGGGAGCAAACAGGAUUAGAUACCCUGGUAGUCCACGCCGUAAACGAUGUCUACUUGGAGGUUGUGGCCUUGAGCCGUGGCUUUCGGAGCUAACGCGUUAAGUAGACCGCCUGGGGAGUACGGUCGCAAGAUUAAAACUCAAAUGAAUUGACGGGGGCCCGCACAAGCGGUGGAGCAUGUGGUUUAAUUCGAUGCAACGCGAAGAACCUUACCUACUCUUGACAUCCAGAGAACUUUCCAGAGAUGGAUUGGUGCCUUCGGGAACUCUGAGACAGGUGCUGCAUGGCUGUCGUCAGCUCGUGUUGUGAAAUGUUGGGUUAAGUCCCGCAACGAGCGCAACCCUUAUCCUUGUUUGCCAGCGAGUAAUGUCGGGAACUCCAGGGAGACUGCCGGUGAUAAACCGGAGGAAGGUGGGGACGACGUCAAGUCAUCAUGGCCCUUACGAGUAGGGCUACACACGUGCUACAAUGGCGCAUACAGAGGGCGGCCAACUUGCGAAAGUGAGCGAAUCCCAAAAAGUGCGUCGUAGUCCGGAUUGGAGUCUGCAACUCGACUCCAUGAAGUCGGAAUCGCUAGUAAUC